rnacentral:rRNA from 2 species
GGGAAUCUUCUACAUUGGACGAAAGUGUGAUGGAGCAAUGCCGCGUGAGUGAAGAUGGUUUUCGGGUCGUAAAACUCUGUUGUUGAAGAAGAUUUUUUUGGAGUAACUGUUCAAGGGUUGGGGGGGAAAAAGAAAAGCCACGGCUAACUACGUGCCAGCAGCCGCGGUAAUACGUAGGGUGGCAAGCGUUGUCCGGAUUUAUUGGGGCGUAAAGCGAGCCGCAGGCGUUUUUUUAGGUCUGAUGUGAAAGCCUUCGGCUUAAGCGGGGAAGUGCAUCGGGAAACUGGGAGACUUGAGUGCAGAAGAGGACAGUGCAACUCCAUGUGUAGCGGUGGAAUGCGUAGAUAUAUGGAAGAACACCAGUGGCGAAGGCGGCUGUCUAGUCUGUAAACUGACGCUGAGGCUCGAAAGCAUGGUAGCGAACAGGAUUAAGAAUACCCCUGGUAGUCGCAUGCCGGAAACGAUGAGUGCUAAGUGUUUGGAGGGGUUUCGGCCCCUUCGGUGCUGCAGGCUAACGCAUUAGAGCACUCCCGCCGUGGGCAGUACGACCCGCAAGGAUGAAACUCAAGGGAAUUGACGCGGGGCCCGCCACAAGCCGGUGAGCAUGUGUUUAAUUUCG